CAAAAGAAGCUAUUGUGUUUCCAGCCAUUUGCAUCAGUUGAAGGAGGUCAUUGAAUGGACGUGACCGCAGGUUGACCCUCAACUCCAGAGCUGGUCCAGGGCAAUCGGAGGCUCCUCCCCCGGCCCAUCCGUGGAGUCCUCGUUCUGCAGAUUCUGACCCCCAGUUCCAAAGCCGGAGCCAUUUUCAGGGAUACAGACGUGAGAGAGCAAAGCGCUGCUGAGACAACCUGGACGAGCGAGACGCUUGAGUUAAGCCAGGAUUAAUGCUUAGAAUGUCAGCAAAUUCAACCCAUCACCCCUCUGAAUACAUGCAUCCUCCUACCAGGGUAGCAAGAGUAGAGAGAUUUCUUGAUGCAAAAUGCCUGAAGUCCUGCUAUUGCAUUAGCCUUUAUGGUUGGGAAUUGGACGAUUCACCAGAAGCACCGAGGGAUCAAAGCAGAAGGUGAAUGCCCCAAGUCUGAGAGAGCGUCGGACGCAUGAGGAGAAGCAAAGGCAAGUUUUCUGUGAAUGCCAAGUGCACGUUCCCCUGGGUAGAAGGGAGGACAGCUGUUAGGUUGCUCCCUGAUGGAGUUAAUCUUGACAAGCUUUUUGGCAGUUGUUUCAUCUUUAUGAUACCAUAAGAUAAAAAUAGUAAUCUCUGUUAGAGCUUUACGGUUUUUUAAAUGCUUCAAAUUACAUGACUUUUAAUAGCCUAUGCUCACAAUCACCCUGGGAGUUAAUGCAUUUUUAUUGUCUGGGCUGAUCUGGGACAAGUCACAGUCCCCUCCACUUUGUUCCUAGCCAUCACCACUUCGUGUGAUCCUGACCCUAUUGUUCCCUCCAUUAAGGCCUGACUUGUCUCUGACCCUUGCCUCUGACUCCCAUUUUCUGGUCUGCCUUUGCUCUUUGAACUUUUCAAAAUGCUCAUGGGUGCACAGCCAGACUCCAAGUCCUCCAAAUACUUGAGGCGACUCAUCCAGUACUUUCCACUUUUUACCACCAGCCAAG